GGGGGCCCGCAAGCGGUGGAGCAUGUGGUUUAAUUCGAUGCAACGCGAAGAACCUUACCUGGCCUUGACAUCCACGGAAUUUGGCAGAGAUGCCUUAGUGCCUUCGGGAACCGUGAGACAGGUGCUGCAUGGCUGUCGUCAGCUCGUGUUGUGAAAUGUUGGGUUAAGUCCCGCAACGAGCGCAACCCUUAUCCUUUGUUGCCAGCGAGUAAUGUCGGGAACUCAAAGGAGACUGCCGGUGAUAAACCGGAGGAAGGUGGGGAUGACGUCAAGUCAUCAUGGCCCUUACGGCCAGGGCUACACACGUGCUACAAUGGCGCAUACAAAGAGAAGCGACCUCGCGAGAGCAAGCGGACCUCAUAAAGUGCGUCGUAGUCCGGAUCGGAGUCUGCAACUCGACUCCGUGAAGUCGGAAUCGCUAGUAAUCGUAGAUCAGAAUGCUACGGUAAAUACGUUCCCGGGCCUUGUACACACC
rnacentral:rRNA from 1 species